UCCGGGUUGGACCCGGCGGUCCCGCCAGACAUCGUAACUGGCGGCGGGGGUUGCGCUCGUUGCGGGACUUAACCCAACACCUCACGGCACGAGCUGACGACAGCCGUGCAGCAUCUGUGCACGCUCCCUUGCGGGUCGGCCCUGUCUCCAGGGACUACCACGUGCAUGUCAAGCCCAGGUAAGGUUCUUCGCGUUGCGUCGAAUUAAACCACACGCUCCGCUGCUUGUGCGGGCCCCCGUCAAUUCCUUUGAGUUUUAGCCUUGCGGCCGUAGUCCCCAGGCGGCGGACUUAGCGCGUUAGCUGCGGCACCGAGGGGGUCGAUACCCCCGACACCUAGUCCGCAUCGUUUACAGCGUGGACUAC
rnacentral:misc_RNA from 1 species